ACACUGACACAUGAAUGACAUUUACAUUGUUCAGAAUAAAAUCAAGGAUACUUUCAAAUAAUGAGCCACAGAAAAAUUGCUGGAGCAAAAUUGUCUUCAGAAUGAAACACAGGCUCAUUUGAAAUGAGAGUUUUUUCAUUAAAAAAAUGGUGCAGCUAAUAAUAAAGUCUUUUAACCUGUAUUUUGUUAUAGGUGACAGGUGAACAAAUCACAGGUCUUGAGUUUCUCUACCCUGCCUCUCUUGGUAACGUCAUCUCCAGUACCAUCUGCUACCUACCAGACAAACAGACCAACCACAUAAUGAGGUACCAGCUUCCACCCAGCUACCGUGACUAAAUCAGAACAAAAGAUUCAACGCCUCCUUCAACAAAGGAACACAAGUCUAAGCUGUCUUUGCUAAUUGCUGGGUUUCAGGUUGUCUGUUACAGAUUUUAAGUGAGCUACAAACUUCCAUCAAAUACUUAUAGCUGUUGGAUAAAGAUACUAAGAAUAAAAAGAUAAAUGGAAGCAAAAGGCAAUGAUGUUGUUCUCCUAAAAUGUGAGCCAGUUUGCUUCCUGUCAGCAAGUGGAGCUCAGCUCAGCUCUUCCUCUCCCCGAGUUGCUGCAGACAGACCAGCAGCUCCGUGGACUGACUUGAAAUGGUUCGGGCAAAUUAUUACUCCAUUCAUGGAUCACCUUCUGCACUUCUUAUAUACUGAGUUAGACACUUUGGUCAUUUUAAAGUGAAGGAGAAUAAUGAAAUUAUCUUCACAAGGAACACUCUUCCAUUUAAAAAUAGGACAUUUCUUGUCACCAAUGCUGUCCCCAAAUUGUAAAUUAACGUAUUUUAAAAUAUUUUUUUCAGUAUUCCAGGGUAGGAAAUAUGUUAUAUCUGUUUCUUUUUGCAAAUGAUUGCUAUCCUUAUCUAGUUCGUACAGAAAUGGUGUCUGAGUCAUGGGAAAUUUAAGUGGUUUGUCUCAAGAAAAUUUGGUGGUAUGCAUGUUCAUGAUGCACAUAGAGCUGCUGAAUGAAUAAUUGGCCUCUAUUUAAUGUCCUCUGCUUUAAAGCUGUCUAGUACAUUUGCUGUUUAAAAAAAUGUCUUUCAAAGCUGUUAAAUAUGUAACAAAAAGAGGUUGCUCUCCCCAUUCUGACAUGAACAAAGCCAUACAGUGAGCUGCCCGAGGUACUUCCAGCAUGGGAUUAAUUACAAACACAAUCAUAAAUGGAAAUUUUCAAAGUUUUCCAAUUCUUUUUCUUUGCAAUACCAGCUGAUGAGUAUUUGAUAAAAGAAUGCAGUAAAAAUAUUAGUCCAGGAAUUAGCUAUUAAAUAUUAAGCUAAGCAUUUUUCAGAGUAUGGGAUCUGUUGGAUCCCAUAAUUCCACCAUUUACCCCUGAUGGAGUGAGAUCUCUGGCUGUCUUCAGAAGCAAACCGAGCUUAAAACAGGAACGCACUCUCAAGAAGAUGAUCGACUAAGAAUGUGUUUUAUUUUGAUUUGAAAAACUGUCAAUCACAAAUAAAAAAGACCAAAUACUGUUAUUAUAUAUACUA
rnacentral:lncRNA from 1 species